rnacentral:rRNA from 1 species
AAACCUUCAAGAGUGCUCAUUGGAGUGAGGACGUUGUCGGACAUUCACCCUACCAUCCAUCAAUUCAUUGUUGCUGAUAUCAUAAAGAGAUGGGACCUGGAAGAUAGAACAGAAAUAGAUGAAAAAGUUCUCAAAAUUGCGAAAGAGCGAUAUAGAGGCUGGCGAUCAACUCUAAGCUCCACUUACAAGGCAUACAAAACAGAUGCAGCUAGAUAGGCUAAUCCGCCGGAAGAUUUACAACCAUAAGAGUGAGAAUGGAUGAUUGAGUACUUUGGCACUCAUUCAAAAUUUCAGGUUAUCUCUAAGAUCACUCUUCGUUUACUAUGUGUUAAGAUGAAGUUGCUUGUUUGA